rnacentral:rRNA from 1 species
UACGUAGGGGGCGAGCGUUGUUCGGAAUCACUGGGCGUAAAGGGCGUGUAGGCGGUCAGGUAAGUGGGAUGUGAAAUGCCCCGGCUCACCCGGGGACCGGCAUCCCAUACUGCUUGGCUUGAGUACGGGAGAGGAUGUGGGAAUUCCUGGUGUAGCGGUGAAAUGCGUAGAUAUCAGGAGGAACACCGGUGGCGAAGGCGCACAUCUGGCCCGAUACUGACGCUGAGGCGCGAAAGCUAGGGGAGCAAACGGG